rnacentral:misc_RNA from 1 species
GAUGAAGAACGUAGCGAAAUGCGAUAAGUAAUGUGAAUUGCAGAGUUCAGUGAAUCAUCGAAUCUUUGAACGCACAUUGCGCCCGCCAGUAUUCUGGCGGGCAUGCCUGUCCGAGCGUCAUUUCAACCCUCAAGCACAGCUUGGUGUUGGGACUCGCGUUAAUUCGCGUUCCUCAAAUUGAUUGGCGGUCACGUCGAGCUUCCAUAGCGUAGUAGUAAAACCCUCGUUACUGGUAAUCGUCGCGGCCACGCCGUUAAACCCCAACUUCUGAAUGUUGACCUCGGAUCAGGUAGGAAUACCCGCUGAACUUAAGCAUAUCAAUAAGCGGAGGA